rnacentral:misc_RNA from 1 species
GAAGUGCGAUAAGCAAUGCGAAUUGCAGAAUUCCGCGAAUCAUCAGAUCUUUGAACGCAAAUGGCGCCAGAGGGAUAUCCUUCUGGCAUGUCUGUUUCAGUGUCUGAGAGGUUUCACAAUAAUCUUAAUGUGAUUGAAUCGAGUUAGUUAGUUAGUUUUAUAACUCACUCACUCACUCUUUUCUCUCAUGAAAGAUGUACGAGUGGAUCUUUCGGUCCAAUGAAGUGGUCACAUCACUCGAAUGUGAUUUCAUUGGAAGCACCGAAUUAUCAUCAUUAAUUUAACUCGUAGUAUCAUAAUAUAAAUUGAGUAUGUAUGUAUGUAUUUAUACAAACAUACUCUCUCUCUCUCUACACCCUGCAUCUGAGAUAGGCAAGAUCACCCGCUGAACUUAA